rnacentral:tRNA from 2 species
AGUAUUAUGUCUGAUUAAAGUAAUAAAUUGUAAAUUUAUUUAAGAAAUUGUAUUUCUAAUACUA